UACGUAGGGUGCAAGCGUUACUCGGAAUCAUUGGGCGUAAAGGGUGUGUAGGCGGAAUGGUAAGUCAGGUGUGAAAGCCUUGGGCUCAACCCAAGAAGAGCAUUUGAUACUGUCAUUCUAGAAUUCAGGAGAGGAAGAUGGAAUUCCCGGUGUAGAGGUGAAAUCCGUAGAUAUCGGGAGGAACACCAGAGGCGAAGGCGGUCUUCUGGACUGACAUUGACGCUGAGACACGAAAGCGUGGGUAGCAAACAGG
rnacentral:rRNA from 1 species